rnacentral:rRNA from 1 species
CCUACGGGAGGCAGCAGUGGGGAAUAUUGCACAAUGGGGGAAACCCUGAUGCAGCGACGCCGCGUGAGUGAAGAAGUAUUUCGGUAUGUAAAGCUCUAUCAGCAGGGAAGAAAAUGACGGUACCUGAUUAAGAAGCCCCGGCUAACUACGUGCCAGCAGCCGCGGGAAUACGUAGGGGGCAAGCGUUAUCCGGAUUUACUGGGUGUAAAGGGAGCGUAGACGGCAGCGCAAGUCUGAAGUGAAAUGCCGGGGCUUAACCCCGGAACGGCUUUGGAAACUGUGCAGCUAGAGUGCAGGAGAGGUAAGUGGAAUUCCUGGUGUAGCGGUGAAAUGCGUAGAUAUUAGGAGGAACACCAGUGGCGAAGGCGGCUUACUGGACUGUAACUGACGUUGAGGCUCGAAAGCGUGGGGAGCAAACAGGAUUAGAUACCCGGGUAGUC